rnacentral:rRNA from 1 species
UACGAAGGGGGCUAGCGUUGCUCGGAAUUACUGGGCGUAAAGCGCACGUAGGCGGCUUUGUAAGUUAGAGGUGAAAGCCCGGGGCUCAACUCCGGAAUUGCCUUUAAGACUGCAUCGCUAGAAUUGUGGAGAGGUAAGUGGAAUUCCGAGUGUAGAGGUGAAAUUCGUAGAUAUUCGGAAGAACACCAGUGGCGAAGGCGACUCGCUGGACAGGUAUUGACGCUGAGGUGCGAAAGCGUGGGGAGCAAACAGG